AUUGAACGCUGGCGGCAGGCCUAACACAUGCAAGUCGAACGAGUGGCGGACGGGUGAGUAAUGUCUGGGAAACUGCCCGAUGGAGGGGGAUAACUACUGGAAACGGUAGCUAAUACCGCAUACCAUCGGAUGUGCCCAGAUGGGAUUAGCUAGUAGGUGGGGUAACGGCUAACCUAGGCGCCGAUCCCUAGCUGGUCUGAGAGGAUGAACAGCCACACGGGAACUGAGACACGGUCCAGAGUCCUACGGGAGGCAGCAGUGGGGUAUAUUGCACAAUGGGCGCAAGCCUGAUGCAGCCAUGACGCGUGUGUGAAGAAGGCCUUCGGGUUGUAAAGCACUUUCAGCGAGGAGGCGUUACUCGCAGAAGAAGCACCGGCUAACUCCGUGCCAGCAGCCGCGGUAAUUC
rnacentral:rRNA from 1 species